UCCCUGGCCUCGCUCAGUGGGUUAAGGAUCUGGUGUUGCGGUGAGCUGUGGUGUAGGUCGCAGAUGCUGCUCGGAUCCCACGUUGCUGUGGCUCUGAUGUAGCCCAGCGACUACAGCUCUGAUAAGACCCCUAGCCUGGGAACCUCCAUAUGCCACGGGUGUGGCCCUAAAAUGACAACAAACAAACAAAACAAAACAAAAAUUCAAAGAUUUGACCUUUUGGGCAAAUGACAGUUAAUAGAAUGACUUUGUGUACAAGUUAAGACUUUUAAAAUAUAAUCACCUUCAUAUUUAAAUCUCUACUUUUGUAAUCACCAUUAUUCCUAAUUUUGCACUUGGUUGUCAGCAAUUCCAGCCACUGAGCUGAUGAAUUAAGUUUCUUCCAUGUUCUCCCCCUACUGGAAUACUGAUGUAUUCUCAGUGAACUGUAAGGUAUUUCACUAGAGAGAGCACAGUUAAGGAGGGGCUUUGCCUGCCAUACCCCAUAUGUAGAAGGGAGCCCAGGCUCUGUCUAGAGAAGAAGGAAAGGGAAAGGUGUGGUCAGAGGAGGGUGAGAGGAAAUGAACAAAGGCACAGCCAAUUUUAGGAGGAAAUCAAGAAACUCAAGGCCACGUAUUCCUAAUUCAGUGGAUCUGAGUUUCUGGUUAAUCAAAUGACUGCAGCGCUUUGGGGAUGAUAAUGGAGGAUUUCUACUACCAACCCUGAAAUUUGCACAUAUAAAUACACUGUAGUUCUUGGCUUUCAAGUUUAUUAAAAUAUAUUGGGACUGGUGCUUCUUUCCAAAUAAAAAGGCUGGUUGUGCGAGGUGUUGCAUCUUAGAAAAGUAUUGGACAGUUCCAGCCAUUUUACGUUAAACUGAAUUUAAAGGUUUUUUUUUUUUUAAUUUUUAAAAUUAUUUUAUUUUUUAAUUUAGUGAUGCCUUUGAACAAAGCACUUUACAAGUAAAUCUGCUGUGCAGAGAAUCCUUUUUGUAAAGAGAGACCUUGUUACCCUUGGCACUUAAUGGGAACAUCCCUAAAUUUGGAUGGUGAAGUAAGGCCACCUUUUAAAUACAUCCCUGGAAGGGAUAAAAUGCUCAGAACUUGGCAGCAUUUCACUUCUGAUGGCCUAGUUCUUAAGCCACAUACAAUCUAAUUGGUGGUGACAGGUUUUUCCAUAAGUGCAUUUUGAUGAAUUAAAAAAUUUUCCCUACCUCUCCCUCUUCUCACUUCCUCAAUGAAGUUACUAUGUUGUGUUCACCCUGAUGCCCAGCACUUAGGCUGGUAGGCACUUAGGAACUUUUGACAAAUUGUAUCCUCAUUAUUACAGAAUGUAUCAUUUAUCUGUGCAGACAGAUACUGAAGAUCUUCAGAACUAAAAGACAUCAUCAGAAGUACACCUGUAGGAGAAAAGAUUGAUAGCAUACUAGGAACACACUGCAUUAAAAUAAAUGAGUAUAAAUUGUAUUGUUUAUUUUCUUUUUAUGUCUUUGGGGGUGCUGAGGAGAGGUGUUUAGGUAAGAAGUCAUCAGGUUUUUUUAUUAUAAAACCAAGUGUUUGACUUUCUGUUUUACUAUUGUUUAUAGAUAGUGCCUGUUGUAUAAGAACACUUUUAAAAUGUUGCCCAAACUUGAGUAUCACAACACUGUACUUUCUCAAUAGCAGUUUGACUUUUGUUGGUGACUCAUUUGAACUUUUGGGAAACCCAAACCAACUAUGGAUAUCAGAAACUGCCUUUUCUGGAAGGGUUUAGGGCUUUCUCAUACGGGUGAAGAGAGUGUGGGGAGAUGUUGGGAAUUGCCUGCCAUUCUCUUGGUUCCUACACCUUCUUGAACUUGGUAAGACAUUUCUCAGAUAAGAAUUGAUCUGAAUUGCUCAGUUUGAUAUAAGAUACUUAUUUAUAAUGUUUGUUUUGUGUUGUUUUGUAGUUUCCAUGAAUCUUUUAAUGUAAUUCUCAGAAGAAGCUUGGCUUUAUCUCUGUUUUACAGAUUAGGAAACUAAGAUCCAAAUAAGUUAGGUGACUUGUUUAUGUUACGCAGUUUUUACAUGAAAGAGCCAAUAUAGGGACACAGAAGGAAUUCGAGGGACUGGCUCCAGAGCCCUCCCUCAUUUUCCUUAUCUAUAAAAAAUAAUGCAACUCCAACCUUACACAAUUGUGAAUAGUUAUAGAGGUAAUGCAAAAGAGCACCCACAGCAAUGCUUGUCACCUAGUAGGUGUUUGAUCUUUGAUAGCUGCUAUUGGUAAUAUACUAAGAAGAUAUUUAAUUUUUAUUUUAAACCUUAUUUUCUUUAUGAAACCAAUCAAAAGGGGUUGGUAUAAAACAGGAAUAAGGACAGAAGUUGAAAUGUUACAAACUGCCAUAUUGACCCCCAUUAGCUCAAAGUCAUAGUAGUGAAUCUUGAAGAAUUUUCACAUGUAAACGGGGAAAUCAAACAAUGUCUUAAGGAAAUGGGAUUGUACGUAUGUUUGCGCUUCUUUCCCUUACUUUCAUUCUCAUUCUACUCUCAGGGAUCAGAAGGGUUGUACUCAAUGGGCAAGCUGUCCUUAGUAGCUAUAUAGGUAGAUGGCCCAAAGCUUUUUUUCUUUUUUUUUUUUUUCCGGCUGAGCCCAUGGAAAUUCUGGGCCAGGGAUUGGAUCCCCCAUCACAGCAGGGACCUGAGCCAUAGCAGUAACAACUGGCCCUAAACUUUUAUUUAUUUAUUUCUUGCUUUAUUUUUUUUUUAGGGUCAUACCCAUGGCAUGUGGAAGUUCCCAGGUUGAAUCAGAGCUGCAGCUGCUAGCCUGCAUCACAGCCACAGCAACACCAGAUCUGAGCCACAUCUAUGACCUACACCACAGCACACAGCAACAAUGGAUCCUUGAACCCAUUGAUCGCGGCCAGGGAUUGAACCUGGAUCCUCAUGGAUACUGGUUGAGUUAGUCACCACUGAACCAUAACGGGAACUCCUGCCCUAAGCUUUUAUUAAUGGCAGCUCCAAAUGUCAUUCAAAGUCAAAUUUUUAUUUAUCUUAAAUGUAGAAUUAUAAAAACGAAAAUAAUUUUUAAAAUGUAUACUUUAAUCUUGGAAAACCAAGAAGUUGGAUUUUUUUUAUAUAUUUCUAUAAUUCUACAGAUUUUUUCAGUAAUUUGGAUAAAUGAAAAAUUGAAGAUCCACGUUGGUGACGUCCAAGAUGCCUAUGUUAAGAGUUAGGAACCUUAUUACGAAGGGAAUUAUAUGUUUUACCCAUGCAUUUUUUUUUCUCAUUGAUGCUUUUAUGUAGGAAGUUAAAACAUUAGAAAUUUUUUUUUUUAUUAUCAAACAUUUCUACUAUUUUUGGUUAUUCUCUUUUUACUGCUUCUUAGAUAAGGACAGGAAAUAUCUAUCCAUAGUUUCUGGGGAACUUUUGUUUGCAUUCAAUCCAGGAAAAAUUUUACGCACUUAUUCCUAAACAUUUUUAAAAUUAAAAAAAAAAAUCAUGGAGUUCCUUGGUGGCUCAGCAGGUUAAGGAUCUAGCAUUGUCACUGCUGUGGUUCAGGUCUGUGUGU
rnacentral:lncRNA from 1 species